rnacentral:rRNA from 1 species
UGCGCGGCUUACCAUGCAGUCGAACGCUCCGCAGGAGAGUGGCAGACGGGUGAGUACGCGUGGGAACCUUCCUAUUGGUUCGGAAUAGCUCAGGGAAACUUGGGGUAAUACCGGAUAAGCCCUACGGGGGAAAGAUUUAUCGCCAAUAGAUGGGCCCGCGUCUGAUUAGCUAGUUGGUGAGGUAACGGCUCACCAAGGCGACGAUCAGUAGCUGGUUUGAGAGAAUGACCAGCCACACUGGGACUGAGACACGGCCCAGACUCCUACGGGAGGCAGCAGUGGGGAAUCUUGGACAAUGGGCGCAAGCCUGAUCCAGCCAUGCCGCGUGAGUGACGAAGGCCUUAGGGAUGUAAAGCUCUUUUAGCANGGNAAGAUAAUGACGGUACCUGCAGAAUAAGCCCCNGGCUAACUUCGUGCCAACAGCCGCGGUGAUACCAAAGGGGGCCUAGCGUUUG